rnacentral:lncRNA from 1 species
GUUUUGAGAUUUUUAGAAAACAGGUGAUUUUUUAUCAGAAUCUGGAAUUUGAUGGUCCUAUUGGCGUUGUUGUUUUUAUGCAAGUAAAAGAUUGUUUAAUACUAUUUUGGUGGGAAGCUGCUUUCGGUGGGUGUAUAUUGACAGUUGGGAUACUUUAGGUGCCAUUUUUGUUUUGGUGCGAGAAUAAGUUAAGGCUAAUGAUUAGUCUAGAUUGUAAUAUACAUUUAGGUUACACCAUGGGUAUGCUGAGCUAUAGUCUACACCAUUUUAGAUAUUUCUCGGGGAAUACUGAUGACCAUUUUUUUUUAUUUAGUUGUACCUUGUACUAAUUUUUAUACUUAUGUUUGUAUGG